rnacentral:lncRNA from 1 species
AUCACUCUUUUUGGGGGAUGUCAACUGCUAUGUCAUGAGGACACUCAAACAGCCCUGUAGAGGGGACCAUGUGGCAAGAGACUGGAGGCCUUUUGCUAACUGCCAGCAAGAAACUGAGGCCUCCUGCCAAUAGCCAUGGACAUGGGCACUGCACUGUCUCAUUACACAUGACCUUCUUCAUGGGCCUGAAUAUUCUUGUAUGCUACCCAAAGAAACUAGCUUGGAAUGUAAUGAAAAUCUGGAUGCCCAGAAACUGAAGGAGAAAGUAGGAGCCCUUUCAUUAUUUCAAACUUUCUUAGAAAACUUGGAGCUUUUUACUUAUUGGCUGAUGUGAAAACAG